AACAUGUCUGGAGGGCAUUGCCUAGUCAGUAGCUUGUAUCUUUCCCAAGCUUCAUACAAAGUCUCACCAUUCUUCUGUCUAAAUGUCUGAACCUCCAUCCCAAGUUU